CUGAUUUGCAGGGUGUAAAAUGUGGUAUUUAUGGUGCCAAUUCUGCAGAAUGGAUUAUGAGCAUGCAGGCUUGCAAUGCUCAUGGACUUUAUUGUGUUCCUUUAUAUGAUACCUUGGGUGCUGGGGCUAUAGUGUUUAUUAUAUGCCAUUCAGAGGUCUCAAUUGCAUUUGCAGAAGAGAAGAAGAUACCUGAG